GCAAGUAAAACCUUGCGAAAGCCACAACUCUUUUGCUCGUCUGACUUGAACGUAUCUUAAUUUUUCUCUGCUUGUGUAAGGUGUAUUUCUGCAGUCGCCAUAUUGUGUCCGUUUUUCAAUUAAUAAAAGAAUAAAGAGCUUUACUGUAUAUCCUUGGAUCUAUGCAAUGAUGAGUUUAAUGAUAUGGUGGUUAUUGUGGCUGUUAUUUGGUCAAGGAUUCACAAUGAAAAUGGGUUGGAAUGAAGAGCUUGAGUUUUGUGAGGAAGAAUGGAAGAAAUUUGUGGCGGACAAAUCUGAAAUCGAUUCGAAAUGCGACAAUACUCGUACACGUUGUUGUGUUGAGGAGAAGAAAUAUCUUUUGGAGCGAUUUAAAAUGUUUAGUGAAAUAUGUCCACUCGAAGGGACAUGUGGAUGCAGCCCGACUAUUUUGAACGUUACUGCUGUGUCACACGUUCGUCUUUAUCCACAUGAAUUAUAC